AGACAAAGGGGGGAAAAAAGAGAGGGGACGAGGAAAUACAGGACGAAAGAGGGAGUUUAGUUACUAACUUUAUGAAGUUCACAGUUAGCUAGAAACGGAAAUCACUCGUGAAAAGUUGCGUUAGUUCACUUCGUUGAAAUGAAAUGUCCCAUGACCAGCUAAUAACCAGAGUUAUUCGACAAUUCAACCUAAUCCUGAACACACGACAUUCGCCUUCCACAAACACGAGCGCACAUAUGGAAUGCGGAAACUAGCUACAAAGACACGUUGAUUCAAGAUGGGCGUUUUUUAAAACUACAUUUGGCAAUACUUUAAAAGGUGGUUAUUUUUCGUCUACAUGAAAAAACUACAACUAGCGUUUUUAUUGUUAUUUACAGUAUAAUAGUUUUUUUAAAACAACCCUUAUUAAGUCUUAACUUCAACUAGUUCGCAUCUCUUCCGGACACGCUCACGCGCAGAUAAUGCUAACUAGCUAGCCUUGUUUGAAAGUCUCAAGCAUCAUCUCGUCUCAAACUAAACGUUGAACUACUAGAAAACACAAAUAUAGUAAACAGAUUCCAUAACAGUCUCUGGAACGGCGGCAGGUUUCCUUGAUUUUCAUACAAAAUGGCUGAAUACACCGAGGCGUUCGUUGAUUGGUCCAGGUACUUGGAAGAACCCGAAAUGGGAGGGCACUUUACACCUAGCAUCGCAAUUUGAUUGGUUCAUUAAAGGGGCUGACUGAGGAGGAGCAGCUGUGUGAUUUCGGUAACUUCGGGACUCUGAACCAGACCUGCUGAGUCAAAAUGUCAACGUUCUUCAUACUUCAGCAGCAGAUUAGCAUGCUGGAUACAAUGGAAACCAAUGGAAUUGUCAUUUAGGUACAAACUCCACACUGGGUAAUAAUCAAUUAUUUAAAAGCAUUUCACAUACUUGACCCAUGUGUUUUUUGCUUGUUUUUGUUGUUGUUGUAUUAAGUGGUUUGAAACAGUUGUUACUAUUUCCAAUGCAUAAAAAAAGCAGAGGUAAUCUAUGGUGUGUGGAUCUGACCCAUAAACGACCCCAACUAACCGAAGACCAUCACACUCCCUGGUUCCAGCGAGAGAUCUGUAAUCUCUCACUCUCUUGCUCCUCUCUCUCUCCCCCUAACCCCACCUUCUCUCUCCACCUCCCUCUCCCCUUUCUAUUUCGCUUCAUUCAACCUAUCCUCUCUGGUCUCCAUUCUCUCCCUCAUCCCUCCCUCUCUCAUCCCAGACCCCACCCUUUCUCUUUCCCCUAGUGUACACUGUAGAGCAGGGUAAUGGAACACACAGACACCAGAGAGUCUCUGGGAAUGGAAGGUUUAUUCUGUUGACGACAGGUUUCACCUUCCCUUCGAUCCCAAUAGAACCCAUUAUUACAUUCAUGUUAAGCAAUAUGCCGUGAUGAUGGAUAUCGUUACCAAUGAUACUGAUCAGACCUGAUGAGGAGUAUUACGAUCAAUAACAACACUAAUCAGAGUUAGAGUUAAUGCUACAUCCGAAGAUUCAACAUCACUGACUCAACCAAAUUCACAAGCAUCAGCAUUAAAACAAUGGCUGGGCUUGACUCAAACAGUGAAUCAGCCAUCCUUUACAUUUAUAAAAAAUAAAAUAGUGAAAUGUGUUUAUGAGUUGCACAGUGUCAUAGUGAGUCUAAUGAGGAGAUUAGUAGAGAUGAAUAGAGAUCAAUAGAUUACUAGAUGUAAGUAGAGUAUAAAUGACUUGAGAUGAUGAGAUAGAGAUGACGACAUGGGAUGGACAGUUUAAAACAGAGAUAAUAAUGUUAUCUGAGAUGUACCAGACGACAUGGUGUGGUUGCUUGAUGAAUUGAUUGAUUGGUUUACCUAUUGAUUUGUGAUGAUGGUACAAGCUUGCAUGCAGAGUGUGGCUGGCUAUGAUUUGGCAGAAACCAAACCAAUAAAUACAUUGUAUAAAACUUGAUAUCAAUAUAUUUGAAUACUGUUCACACUGUGAAACUAUAUUACAGAGACAAUAUAAUAUGAAACUGACUGAUAAAUACUCAAUACACAGGGAAAUAUACAAAAUGUAUGUCUUCUUCAUAUUCUGGACUAAAAAACAAUGAUAGACAUUUUCCAGAUGGCUCCAAUAGCAGACACAUUACAAUACAAAGACCUGCUACAUUUUCUUUUCAACAAUAACGUGGCGGCACAUCCAGUUCAAUAAUAAAGACAAUAUUAAUAGAAUAGAAUACAGAAGUUCACACAGAAUACACUAUAAAUGUCAAGACAGAAAAAUAUAAAAAUAGCAUUCACAAUAAAAGAAUGGUCCAUAUCAGAAGAAAUACAUCGUAGUAAAUAG